rnacentral:rRNA from 1 species
CCGACGGUGAGGGGUGAAAGCUGGGGGAGCAAACCGGAUUAGAUACCCGGGUAGUCCCAGCUGUAAACGAUGCGCGUUAGGUGUGUCAGUGACCACGUGUCACUGAUGUGCCGAAGGGAAACCGUGAAACGCGCCGCCUGGGGAGUACGGUCGCAAAGCUGAAACUUAAGGGAAUUGGCGGGGGAGCACCACAACGGGUGGAGCCUGCGGUUUAAUCGGACUCAACGCCGGAAAUCUCACCGGAUAA